rnacentral:pre_miRNA from 1 species
AGCUUUUUGAAUCCGUGAAAAGGUUUUGUCAGACACCAACCCAUUAUUGAUCAGACUUCCAAGAUAAGUGAAGUU